UGUUACAUAAUUUAAAUAAUUCCUGUGUGAUAAAUUUUUUUAAUGAAAAUGGUUUUAAAAUCAUAUUUUCAGAAAAUCAACAUGUCAUAAAAAUAAUGAUGAAAAAAGAUAAAAUGCUUCUUUACACACUAAUGAAAAAGAAUUUCAAGAUAUGAACAUUAAUUAUUUACUUUCUAGCAAUGUAGCCUAGGUCUAAGUAUCAAAUAGAGAGGAAGACCACAGUGAAGAUGGAUUACUUUUAUAUACAAAUAAAUGGAAAAUAUUGUAAUGUUUUGUUGUUUCUUUUUCUCAAAUAACUGCAAAUAUGAAAAACAUACCAUCCACCAAAUGCCCAGAAUCCA